AACGUAGGAGACAAACGUUAUCCGGAGUUACUGGGCGUAAAGGGCGUGUAGGUGGUAAUGUAAGUCUGGCGUGAAAUUUUUCGGCUUAACCGGGAAAGGCCGUCGGAGACUGCAUAACUAGAGGACGGUAGAGGCGUGUGGAAUUCCGGGUGUAGUGGUGAAAUGCGUAGAGAUCCGGAGGAACACCAGUGGCGAAGGCGACACGCUGGGCCGUACCUGACACUGAGGCGCGAUAGCAUGGGGAGCAAACAGG
rnacentral:rRNA from 1 species